rnacentral:rRNA from 1 species
AGAGUUUGAUUCUGGCUCAGAUUGAACGCUGGCGGCGUGCUUAACACAUGCAAGUCGAACGUGAAAGUCCUUCGGGACGAGUAAAGUGGCGCACGGGUGAGUAACGCGUGGAUAAUCUACCCUUAAGAUGGGGAUAACGGCUGGAAACGGUCGCUAAUACCGAAUACGCUCCCGAUUUUAUCGUUGGGGGGAAAGAUGGCCUCUGCUUGCAAGCUAUCGCUUAAGGAUGAGUCCGCGUCCCAUUAGCUAGUUGGCGGGGUAACGGCCCACCAAGGCAACGAUGGGUAGCCGGUCUGAGAGGAUGACCGGCCACACUGGAACUGGAACACGGUCCAGACUCCUACGGGAGGCAGCAGUGGGGAAUAUUGCGCAAUGGGCGAAAGCCUGACGCAGCGACGCCGCGUGAGGGAUGAAGGUUCUCGGAUCGUAAACCUCUGUCAGGGGGGAAGAAACCCCCUCGUGUGAAUAAUGCGAGGGCUUGACGGUACCCCCAAAGGAAGCACCGGCUAACUCCGUGCCAGCAGCCGCGGUAAUACGGAGGGUGCAAGCGUUAAUCGGAAUCACUGGGCGUAAAGCGCACGUAGGCGGCUUGGUAAGUCAGGGGUGAAAUCCCACAGCCCAACUGUGGAACUGCCUUUGAUACUGCCAGGCUUGAGUACCGGAGAGGGUGGCGGAAUUCCAGGUGUAGGAGUGAAAUCCGUAGAUAUCUGGAGGAACACCGGUGGCGAAGGCGGCCACCUGGACGGUAACUGACGCUGAGGUGCGAAAGCGUGGGUAGCAAACAGGAUUAGAUACCCUGGUAGUCCACGCUGUAAACGAUGGGUGCUGGGUGCUGGGAUGUAUGUCUCGGUGCCGUAGCUAACGCGAUAAGCACCCCGCCUGGGGAGUACGGUCGCAAGACUGAAACUCAAAGAAAUUGACGGGGGCCCGCACAAGCGGUGGAGUAUGUGGUUUAAUUCGAUGCAACGCGA